AGAGUUUGAUCCUGGCUCAGGACGAACGCUGGCGGUGUGCUUCACACAUGCAAGUCGAACGGAGUAGCAAUACUCAGUGGCGGACGGGUGAGUAACACGUGGGAAUCUACCAUUAGGUGGGGAAUAACAGGCCGAAAGGACUGCUAAUGCCGCAUAUGUAGGCAUCUCGACAGAGAUGUUUAUGAAAGGAGUAAUCCGCCUUUUGAUGAGCCCGUGUCCGAUUAGCUAGUUGGUAGGGUAAAAGCCUACCAAGGCGACGAUCGGUAGGUGGUCUGAGAGGAUGAUCACCCACAAUGGGACUGAGACACGGCCCAUACUCCUACGGGAGGCAGCAGUGGGGAAUUUUACGCAAUGGGGGAAACCCUGACGUAGCGACACCGCGUGAGCGAAGAAGCCCUUUGGGGUGUAAAGCUCUGUCAACAGGAACGAAACAAAUGACGGUACCUGUGGAGGAAGCAUCGGCUAACUACGUGCCAGCAGCCGCGGUAAGACGUAGGAUGCAAGCGUUGUCCGGAUUUAUUGGGCGUAAAGAGUUCGUAGGCGGUUUGUUAAGUCUGAUGUUAAAGACCGGGGCUCAACCUCGGAAAUGCAUUGGAUACUGGCAGACUGGAGUGCAGUAGAGGCUAGUGGAAUUCCCAGUGUAGCGGUGAAAUGCGUAGA
rnacentral:rRNA from 1 species